UUAAAACACUCGAGAAGUAUAAGCUCCUGAACUACAUAUAUGCUUUGAAAAUAGGUGCAACUUGAUUUGACAUUUUUCUGUGCUUAGGUUUAUCAGGAAAUAUUCUGAUUCCCACUCGGUGAAUGCUUCAAGGAUAUUUAUCCCGUAGGCAAAAGUAAUCACAAGCUUGGUCUAGCUAUGCUACAACUGCAUUCGCUGGCAUUAAAGGAAACCUUGGUACUGGGAUAACUCAAGAUCUGGGAACAUUAUUCCAGGCAUCCAGCUAUUGAUUUUAUCAGAUAUACUUGCCUCACUCUGUCUCAGAUCUAAUGUAUUUCGAAUUUACCUACUGGACUUGAUCAGAGGAGAUUGUGCAAAUUUGAGCUCUGUAGCUUCAGCUUCAAAUAUCUCCAGGGGCGUGGAGAGUUGCUUUAAUGCGACUUUUGAUGAGUUUGGAUCGAAGAAAAGAAGGCGGGCAUACUCCUCCUUCUCCUUCGCCUGAAACGUAUAAGAGUUUCCUCCUCUUGUUGGGCAAUGGUAGAUGUAUCGCAUUUCUUUUAGAAUGUAAUUCCCUUCCUGUUUGUUAUCAUUCAUGUAU